AGAUGAGGAGCUUGCUCUUCAAAUCGAGUGGCGAACGGGUGAGUAACGCGUGGGUAACCUGCCUCACACUGGGGGAUAACAGUUAGAAAUAGCUGCUAAUACCGCAUAAGCGCACGGUUCCGCAUGGAACAGUGUGAAAAACUCCGGUGGUAUGAGAUGGACCCGCGUCUGAUUAGCUAGUUGGUGGGGUAACGGCCUACCAAGGCGACGAUCAGUAGCCGGCCUGAGAGGGUGAACGGUCACAUUGGGACUGAGACACGGCCCAAACUCC
rnacentral:rRNA from 1 species